ensembl:lncRNA
UUCAGGGGGGAAGUCUUUACUAGAGCUUGGUGCUUUCCGAAUCCCCUUCUCGGCUGAAACGAAUGGCCAAAAGACCGAAGACGUGACGAGCACCGUCCUCAACUAAUGGAGAGACUUCUAGUCGGGUCACUAUAUCAAGAGGAGGUGGAUGAGCAGGACGUUUCCUGUAAACUGGCAUGACUUACCUCCUUGAUGAUCCGAGCCUGACUCAUGGAAAAAGGCAACCGCGUGACUGGGAGCGGGGCUUUGCACGGCGGGGCUGGUGAGUGACGAAACCAGAGCCCUGCCACUGGGAUGGCGUGUACAAUGUGAGAGUGAGCAUUAAAUAGAACAGAGGACCCAUGAUGCUGCCCAUUCACCGGCAUGUGUCCGACCUCACUGUGGCUUUCACCGUCACACAGAUACAGAGAUUAGC